rnacentral:misc_RNA from 1 species
UCCGGUUUGUCACCGGCAGUCUCAUUAAAGUGCCCAACUAAAUGAUGGCAAUUAAUGACAAGGGUUGCGCUCGUUGCGGGACUUAACCCAACAUCUCACGACACGAGCUGACGACAGCCAUGCAGCACCUGUGUUCAGGUUCCCUUUCGGGCACUCUCUAAUCUCUUAAAGAUUCCUGACAUGUCAAGGGUAGGUAAGGUUUUUCGCGUUGCAUCGAAUUAAUCCACAUAAUCCACCGCUUGUGCGGGUCCCCGUCAAUUCCUUUGAGUUUUAAUCUUGCGACCGUACUCCCCAGGCGGUCAACUUCACGCGUUAGCUGCGUUACCAAAAAAGUUACCUUUUCCGACAACUAGUUGACAUCGUUUAGGGCGUGGACUAC